rnacentral:lncRNA from 1 species
CACACCCUAGCGACCGACUGCACGUGCAGAGUUUGUACACGACCCCACAAGCACACACACCAGGCAGUUGCGCUUGGAUACCCUCGUUCUGGCCCGAGGCAACCCUCCACCCUAGAUCCUCUAGCAAUGGACUUCGUACAGAUAAACCACGGAAAAAACUGGAAUACCUCGCCCCACCUCUUUUUUCCUAUUUAAUUCGCUAAAGCAGCUCCUGGAGUAACCAAAGAGAGUAGAAACUAAGGCGUGGCCACUUCAGUUGGGUUUUUUCCCACCUCAAAACCUUUAUUUUCAGUUUUUAAAAGCCACCUUAGCCCGCCAUAUUGGAACUGGCACGGUGUCUAAAGACUCCUUCCCCGCUGCUGUAGCGCUUCCAAGAAAACACAAGUAUUGACUGGGCUGGGGACCUGUGUCCGGCCACAGAAAACCAAUCGCUUCCCACCCCUCAAAUGUUCUCCCUUUCCCAGCCUAAUCCCGUUCAGCCGCUCCAAGAGGUAGGUGGGUUUGGAGUGACCUGAUUGGAGGAGGAGAGACCGGGAAAGAAGGAGGAAGAACAUGGAAGAGAGGAGGAGGAAGCCGCCAUUAGGGGAGAGGAACCAUGAGCACAUGGCCAGGAGAAACUUCUCCGCCAUAGCGGAUGGCAUUGUAAAACUACAGACUGAAUUAAAGCCUUGCCUCCUCACCUUGCCUUUGUCAGGUCAUUGUUCACAGCAACAAGACAGGGAACAAAUGGAGGUGCAAAGCCUUCUCGUGCCCCUCUCAGAACUUGGACUCUUAAACAAGGAGGACUGAGAAGGAAGCUGUUUAGACCAUGCCAUAUUUCUUAGGCCCCAAGAAUCUUACAGAUGGACAGAUCUUCUCUUCAAAUCCUGCCGUUGCAGCCCAGAGAAAGAGACAGCCACUGGAGCAACACAUCCCUCAGUCAUCUCCCCAGCCCUCGUGCGUCAACACUGAAGCUUCAGUAGAGACCCUGAGAAACAGACCGUGCGGCCUGAGGGAAAAUUCAGAAGACAAAUACUCCCUUCAACAAACAAGUCAGAUGACCCGUAAGUGAGGUGAACUCCAAGGCUAAGGUGGAUCCAGGGGCAGGACAAACUGUUCGCACGCCUAGCAUCUGUGGACUCUACCCUCCAAGCGCUUCCCCGGUCUUGUCGCGAGAACCAGAACCGUCGCUUUCAGGAACUCUCCAUACUACAGGGCUACACUAACCUUUAGAUGAGCCACUAGCUCUUCUGAGUGGUGUUCCCAGCCCAGGGCUCUGUGCUGCAAAGAAUUGAUGUAUAUCAAAGCAAGUUUUGACAUAUGUCAAAACAUGUGCACCAGGUAAAUACAGGAGCACCAGAGACAUCAUGAUGCUGUCUGUGGCUUUUCUGACAAGGUCAGAGCCUACCGGUGCUUCUGAACGUGUACAACACUAGUAACGGAAGAGGUCAAAGUUCAGAAAGAGAGGAAUUUCCCAAAUGAUCCAAAUCCAAGCUUAGAGAAGCCAAAGUCAUAGCCACUGGGCAGGACCUCUCUUGGCAAGUCAUCUAUUACUGGAAUUAUUAUUCAGAAACAGAUGUUAAUAAAUUUUUUAAUGUG